AACAAUUAGAAAAAUGUUGGGGUUGCACGUGGGAUCGUGUGUUAAGGGAUAAAGAUGAGUGCUCUUAGUAAGUUCAUGGUAACUGGGCUCUUGAGUGUUUUAAGGCUGCUGGACUAUAUCAAGAUAAUACAAGAGUUAGAAAAAAUACUUCUACUAGGAGAGGCAUAGGAAGAGGACUUAGACUAAGAGUUGGCAGAGGAGGGGGAAGAGGAACUGGUAGAUGAAGGAGAAGGGUCGCUGGUUCUAAUUCAACAAAUACAGCAGCCAGUGCACCUGCAUGAUUUGCUACUGCUGCUUCAUUUCACGGGCUGCUAAAUUUAUUCCUGCUACUGUUGGAAAAAGAAAGAACAAGAGAACUGCAAUUUGGUAUUUACAUUAGACACACAAUCUGGAAGACAAGUCCUUAAUGUAAGCUCUUUCAUAUUUUAUAUAUGUAGCUAUUUCAUACGUUAUUAAUAUAUAUUACUCUGAAUUUUUGGCUCGGAACAUCGAGAGAAAGAGUCAUCUUUAGUGUGAGACAAUUAAAGAAUGCAUCACUUAUCAAUAUUGAUCUUGGAUUCAAGCUCCCUAGAUUGAAAUAUUAGGGAAAAUCUGCUAUUACUGAAAAUAAAUUUGAACAACGAAAAGAGAUGCAAAUGAAGAAUAAAAAGACUCACUAGAGAACAUUUUACUUUAUGUAUUUUGUUCUAAAAUCUCAAUUUUAGUUAUUUGCUAUUAAAGCAAUCUUUUAGAUGUAUGUUUGAUAUUUUAUUUUGUGACUAUUACCUUAAUUUGCGCAAUGAAAUUUGCAGAAUUUUAAAAAUGAACAUUUAUGCUCCAUUAUCAGUUCAUUUUGAUAGACUUUUCUAUACAGUUAAUAUUUGAGUAUGUCAAAAUUUUGCUGAAAUAUUAGUCCAAAAAUGAUUCAACUUAUAUUCAUCUUAGGGUUAGAUUGCAUUAUUUAAAAAAGAGCUCCUUCAACCAACUAAAUUACAAAAUACAAGAAAAUAUUACAUAAGAAACUCUCUAACAAUAAAAGCUAGUAUCACAAUGACGUACUUUCUCCUCAUAUUCUCCUUUUCUUCGUCGUAUUUUGAUCCUCUUCGAAAAUUCCCAGAUAAUGAUCCUAGCUUGUUCGGGAAAUUUAUUUUCAAACCACUUAAAAUACUUAUACCCUUCCAGUAAAAUAGUAAGAAAGGUCCAUAAAAAUGAAUUCUUGGCCAACUAAUUUUGAAGAAAUAAAAUAGGCACCAAAAAAUAUUUAAAUAUUUAUUUACCGAACCAUAUUGGCAUCAAAGAUAUUUGCGACUUGGGUUAUUUUGUGAUCUUGAAACCAUCAAUUCUAUCCUUUUACCACAAUGCCACUACAAGGUGCCUUCCAUUUUUUAGAAUGCUUUGUAAUAGAGAAAGAAGGAAGAUGGGAGUAGGAAAGGGUCGGGGAAGAAUGGGGAAGAAUGAGGAUUUAGGUUAAGAAAUUUGACAAUUAAUAUAAAAGGAAUUAAUUAAGGGUAUAAUAUUAAUUUUAUUGUUUUUAACCGUUAUAACCAAGAAAAUUUUUACCUAACAUGCUGCCCAAUAGUUGUAUCUCACUCGUGUUGCCAUGUAGACCCGUGUGUUUAGUUGACACACUAAAACAAAACAUAAAGUGCCUAUAUGGACACCUAGUAAAUUGGACUAACAUUAUGUGUUUCUUUGUGUAUUUUGGAUUUUUUAAUCUAAACUUAUAUACUCGCACAAUGACCUACUCUAAUUAAGAAUUUGAACACGUGAUAAAGUGUUUACAUACUUAUAUUUUGAAAAUAUUUCUGAGCUUGAGAAUAAAGAGUCCAUCCAACGUGGUUGGGCUAGUUUUGUGAAUUUUUAACUAUGAACUUAGAUACUGGACAAAGAUGUCACGAUCUAAUUUCUACUAAAGAUUAUACAUCAUAAGAAAACAUAAAAAAUAUACCUAUAAUAACAUCUGGAGACGACUCGAGAUCCUGUCGGCCUAUUACAGCAUAAGUUCGAUUUUGGCCACCACUUGAACUCAACACUGUACCUCUAACUCUACCACGACCUAUUGACUGCUGAAAACCCCGUGCUAGAGGUCGAGCUGAUGAGAAAGAACCAGACACAGAUCGAGUCAGCUGAGCCAUGCCAUCACCUCCCCUUUUAGGACAAUCAUGCAUCAUAUGGCCAGGCUAUUCGUAAGAAUAACAUGCUUCAGAACCUCGAUGGCACAUUUCAAAGUUGUGGGUAUCAUCUGACUAUAUCCCUGUUAUGUUGCGAGCCUGAUGCCCGCGAAAUCUGACCUAAACCAGAAUAGUAGAUCAAUCAUAUCAAGGCCUUUGAAACUGUGGAGGAGUACUAGCUACAGAUGACGUCGAACUCAUCAAAGACUGGGUCCUGACACUACCUCUAAAGCCAUCAGAAUACAGUGCAAAGCUUUUCUUCUUAUGCGAGCCCCAAUCAUGCUCCCUAGCUGCCCACUGUUGGAGCGUACGAUCCUCUAGGGUCUGGGCAUAAGCCUCAAUACGGAAAAUAUCCAUGCCUUCCACCAAGGAAGCUGUCAUACACUCAUUUAUCAAAUGUGGUCCUAACGCGUUCACGAACAAAUGCACCCUAUCACUUAUCUCGGCCACCAUACGGGGAGCAUACCUUGUUAAAGAAUCAAAUUGCAUACUAUACUCUCGCAUAUUCAUAUUACCUUGUCUAUUGUUCAAGAACUUAUCAGCAUUAGCUUGUCGUAGCUCAACUAGAAAGUAGUGACGAAGAAAGGCCUCGAAAAAAUCCUUCCACACAGCUGAUGGAGCGUUUGGACCCCUGGAUCUCACCCAAAUAUCAUACUAGAGAACCGCUAAAUCCCGUAUCCAAUAAGAAGCCAACUCUACUGCCUCGAUAUCACUAACAUGCAUAAUUCGUAGUGUACGAUGAACCUAUUCAAUAAAAGUUUGCGGGCCCUCCUUGGGUUCUGAUCCGGUAUACACUGGAGGGUCUAAAUUAAUAAAAUCACGAACUCUCGUACUAACUGGUUUAUCAACAACACAUGUAUUCUGCAUUUGGGCCUGAGCAGCUACCAAGCUAGUUAAUAACUGCAAAGCACUCCGCAUAUCCUGGUCUGUAGUGCUAGAUGGAGGAACUGGAGGUGUUGGAUUCCUCCUAAUAUCCUCUGGAGGAGAAGUAGAUGAGGUAUGAGACGACAUCUGACUUUGGCCUACUCUAGCUUGGGGCACCUCAGUGGUGCCCUCUCCCACAACUGUAUCAAGCUGUAUACUAAUUGUUUGCUUCCUAGUCGAAGGCAUCGCUAAAAGAAAACAAGGUAAAUAUUAGAGAGAACACUUACAACUCAACUCUAUUCACGAUCUAGAUUCAGGAAUAAAGGUAAUAAUCUUAGAUGUCCUGUAGCCUCCUGAUUAUAAAUGUGGCGUGCUACAUAUCCAUAAUUAAGAUUCUGCUAGACACGGAUCAUAGACAAUCCCUAGGAUAGAGCGACUUCAAUACCAAGUUUGUCACGACCAAAUUGGAGGGCCAUGACUAGCACCCAGCCAUACUUGCUGUGCACCAACGUACAUUUUACCUAACCUUCUUUAUUAUCUUUUUGGGCCAAUGAGAUCAAUAUAAAUGGUAUCCAUGGAUCAUGGAGAACCAACCAUAAAAUAUGAUGGAAUAAACAUACAAAACAUGGGGUGACCAAACAAUUAAUAAACUAUAUAUAAGGUACCAGCUACCACGCUACCAUGAAAGACUAUACAACAAAAACUAGCCGACAAGGCAUACCAAACUAUACAUGAGUCGACACCUAUCAAUGAGCCUCUAAAGGAACAUAAGUGCUGCAACAUAGCCGGAACAGGGCCCCGACAUACCCAUAAUGUCUCUAAGAAAAAUGCAUAACAAGACCACGACAAGUCCAGAUAAGGGAUCUCGCCAAGCACCGCUGAAUUGGAGAGCCUACUGUGGUGGGGGAGCUGCACCUGCCUGUCUAUCUGGACCUGCAGCACGACAUGCAACAUCCACAAAUAAAAAGGCAUCAUAAUGAAUAAAGUACUUAGUAUGUAAGGUAGGGAACCAUAAAUACAAACAAAUGUAAGUAGCGAUAGAGAAUAUACAACCUGUAACAUCUGAGUACCUCUAAGGGCUACUGACAUAAAAUGCAUGAUACAUAUGUAUACAUAAACGCUGAAAACAUACGCCUCUGUGGGCAUCAAUAUCAUUAUAUCAUACCUAGACGUAAUAGGUUCUGUAAAAAAAUGUACCCGGCAUCAUAACGCUCGGUAGAUUCAUACCUAGCCACGUGGAGCUCGAUAAAAUCCAACUGAUCAGUGGUUGCACAAUAGGUCCGUACCCGGCUGACUAUAGCACGGCUCGUUACAGUAAAAUAGAUACAUAUAUAUAAUGCAUGCUCGACUCCUGAAAACAUGUUCUAGACCUUUCAAAGUGACGUAAGAUCGAUAUUCUCUGUACACGUUAUUAGGACUAACUCUUCACUAUGAACCUUGUAUGAAUCAGGAAGUACCAACAACAUUGAUAACAUAAGAAUAAGAGAAACAACAUUGCAUCAAUUGUUCCAUAAGAGGGGAAACAAUGUAAGUUCUGCUAGCUUCUAAGAGUAGAGUAACUUUAGGAGCUUGUUCAUUACAUUAUGUACGACCAGAGUCGUGCAAAAGAAGGAAAGGGAUAGCCUCACAUACCUUUUAUAUACUGCCCCAGUAUCAAGCUAUGCAGUUUUCACAACUCCCUAGUGUACAAUAAGAGAAAUGAUACAAUUGUUAACAUUUAUGCGUCAUAACUAUUUAUGUAUCGACAACGACCUAUUUUACGAUGAAACGGACAGAACCUCCCGUAUAUAUAUGAAUUCAAAAAAUUCCAAAUAAUCACCAAACACCAACAACAUCAAUAAUUCGUAGCCCAACAGCAACACAAAAUAGUCCACAAAAUAGUCUGCCACAAGUGAAUAACUCGAACUCACUGCUUCCGAUCACCGUCCCGUGAGUUGUUACAUGUAUAGCACGAAUUACCAUGAUUUUAUAGAAGAAAAAAUGUCUAAUAUAGAGUAGUAAACUUACAUUACCCGUUGGAUAACUCAGCCCUUCCCUUGGGUCUUUAAACUCUAGAUUUUUACCCUCAAUGAGAACUUGAAAGAGAGGGAAUAUCAAUUAGGGUUGUGUGGAAUUUUUGGGAAGAAGUUUGUAGGGGUGUAGGUCUGAUUAUUUAUGAGAUAUAUUGAGGUUUAUGUUGCAGGAGAUAACCCUUUAAAUAGGCUCAAUAGCCAAACCCAUAUUUUCUUUUUUUUGGGCUAUCAUUUAACCAAGUAGGUGACACACCUACUUGUCACCUAGCAGCUUGCGCAGUCUCACAAAAAUGCAUAUAUCUCUCUACUCCGAUCUUGUAUUGAUAAACAGUCUAAUGCAUUAGUAACUAGACUCAAAGAUAUUAAAUUUUGUGGGUAGAACCCUGUAAUUCCAAGUAGAUUGGGAGAAAAGCUUAAUGACAUUUGACCUAAAGUUUAUGUUAAACCACGAACCUAAGUUGCGACAACUUUAGUCAACUUUUGUUUCAUAACUCGUUUGAUUUCAAGUCUAUGAAAUGGAUAUUAUAUGAUUCAAAUACGUUAAAACAUGACCUCUUGACUGUAUUAAGCACCAAUAGCUUUACCCAAAAAUACAAGUUGCAACAUCCUUGAUUCGUUCAACUUCUAAUACUUGUUAAUCACCCUUAUAUACCCUUGUAUCACUUAAGAUCAAUAUGAUUAACUUCUUAUCUUCUCAAGGAUAAUUCUUUCUUGUAUUUAUGUUAACUAACGUAUGGCAUGUACUAACGAGUGUGGAUAUGGGUUGUAAAAGUAUUGUAUAUGUGAUAUGUUGUGGAGGAUUGGGAUAUGCAUGUGUAAAGAGUAUUUCAGAUGUUUUUAGAAAACUUAGGCUUGAAUUCGAUGUGAAUUGAUGGAUUUGGUGUUGUUUGAGGUGCUUUGAUGAUUGGAACAAGUUCAAAUGCGAUUUUAGGAUGUGUUGGUGAUUUUGUUGAAGUUUCGGGGGCCUCGGGUGACUUUUGGAUGGUCAAUCAAACUUUUUUUGGUAUGUUGAAGUUGCAGAUUUCUCAUUUCAGGUGUUGCAGAC
rnacentral:lncRNA from 1 species